AGGACUACGCUGGCGGUGCGCCUAACACAUGCAAGUCGUACGGGCUCCUUCGGGAGCUAGUGGCAGACGGGUGAGUAACGCGUAGGUAAUGUACCUCUUCGCUGGGGAUACCUACCUGAAAAGGUGGCUAAAACCGAAUGAGCUUUUCAAGCGGCAUCGCUUGAUUUGCAAACCUCCGGGGCGAAGAGAUCAGCUUGCGUACUAUCAGCUAGUAGGUGAGGUAAUGGCUUACCUAGGCUUCGACGGUUAGCCGGUCUGAGAGGAUGAUCGGCCACAUUGGAACUGAAACACGGUCCAGACUCCUACGGGAGGCAGCAGUGAGGAAUCUUGCGCAAUGGGCGAAAGCCUGACGCCAGCGACACCGCGUGAGGGAUGAAGGUCUUCGGAUUGUAAACCUUUGUCAGUGGGGACGAGAACGGACGGUACCCGCUGAGGAAGCAUCGGCUUACUACGUGCCAGCCGCUGC
rnacentral:rRNA from 1 species